UAUAGUGUGGUGUAGUGAUGUGCAUGUUGGAUUAUGACUCUGGAGACCAGGGUUCGAUUCCCAGCUUGGUCA